UACGUAGGGGGCAAGCGUUGUCCGGAAUCAUUGGGCGUAAAGCGCGUGUAGGCGGCUCGAUAAGUCUGCUGUGAAAGUCCAGGGCUCAACCCUGGGAUGCCGGUCGAUACUGCCGGACUAGAGUUCGGAAGAGGCGAGUGGAAUUCCCGGUGUAGCGGUGAAAUGCGCAGAUAUCGGGAGGAACACCUAUGGCGAAGGCAGCUCGCUGGGACGUUACUGACGCUGGAGACGCGAAAGCGUGGGGAGCGAACAGG
rnacentral:rRNA from 1 species